AUUGAACGCUGGCGGAAUGCUUUACACAUGCAAGUCGAACGGCAGCACGGGGCAACCUGGUGGCGAGUGGCGAACGGGUGAGUAAUACAUCGGAACGUGCCCAGUCGUGGGGGAUAACGUAGCGAAAGUUACGCUAAUACCGCAUACGAUCUAAGGAUGAAAGCGGGGGAUCGCAAGACCUCGCGCGAUUGGAGCGGCCGAUGUCAGAUUAGGUAGUUGGUGGGGUAAAGGCCCACCAAGCCGACGAUCUGUAGCUGGUCUGAGAGGACGACCAGCCACACUGGGACUGAGACACGGCCCAGACUCCUACGGGAGGCAGCAGUGGGGAAUUUUGGACAAUGGGCGCAAGCCUGAUCCAGCCAUUCCGCGUGCAGGAUGAAGGCCUUCGGGUUGUAAACUGCUUUUGUACGGAGCGAAAAGGCUCUCUCUAAUACAGGGGGCUCAUGACGGUACCGUAAGAAUAAGCACCGGCUAACUACGUGCCAGCCGCCGCCGUAA
rnacentral:rRNA from 1 species